rnacentral:rRNA from 1 species
AUUGAACGCUGGCGGCAUGCCUUACACAUGCAAGUCGAACGGUAACAGGUUAAGCUGACGCGUGGCGAACGGGUGAGUAAUACAUCGGAACGUGCCCAGUAGUGGGGGAUAGCCCGGCGAAAGCCGGAUUAAUGCCGCAUACGACCUAAGGGUGAAAGGGGGGGAUCGCAAGACCUCUCGCUAUUGGAGCGGCCGAUGUCAGAUUAGCUAGUUGGUGGGGUAAAAGCUCACCAAGGUGACGAUCUGUAGCUGGUCUGAGAGGACGACCAGCCACACUGGGACUGAGACACGGCCCAGACUCCUACGGGAGGCAGCAGUGGGGAAUUUUGGACAAUGGGCGCAAGCCUGAUCCAGCCAUGCCGCGUGCGGGAAGAAGGCCUUCGGGUUGUAAACCGCUUUUGUCAGGGAAGAAAUCCUUUGGGUUAAUACCUCGGGGGGAUGACGGUACCUGAAGAAUAAGCACCGGCUAACUACGUG